CAGUAGCCGCGGUAAAACGGAGGGGGCUAGCGUUGUUCGGAAUUACUGGGCGUAAAGCGUGCGUAGGCGGUUUGUUAAGUCUGUUGUGAAAUCCCCGGGCUCAACCUGGGAAUGGCAAUGGAUACUGGCAAGCUAGAGUGUGUCAGAGGAUGGUGGAAUUCCCGGUGUAGCGGUGAAAUGCGUAGAGAUCGGGAGGAACAUCAGUGGCGAAGACGGCCAUCUGGGACAACACUGACGCUGAGGCACGAAAGCGUGGGGAGCAAACGGGAUUAGAUACCCCCGUAGUCCCUGUCUCUUAUAC
rnacentral:rRNA from 1 species